rnacentral:miRNA from 1 species
GGGGGGGGGGGGGGGGGGCAA